GAUGCCAGGGUCAAAAGGUCUAAGCCCACAUGAGCUUGCUCAUAAGUGGGUGAAAGACCUUGGGACCCGCCCCACUAUGAGCAUAAAAGUGGGAUAUAUAUCCCACGAUAUGCGAAUAUUGGGGCGGAUUAUGGGAGUGCGGAGCACGGAACAAUCCGCAGGCAU
rnacentral:sRNA from 1 species